ACACACACACAUACAUACGCGCACAUUCAUUCACUGGUUUCCAACUCGUUCGUUUCACUCACUGGAUGGCUUUGGUAGAACAAAAAAAAUUAGUAAUUAACAGGAACCAGUGUUGUUAAGAGGGGAUUAGAAACAAACAAACAAAAAAAAAAUAGAUCUAACCAAAGUAUAUAUAUAUAUAUAUAUCGGGGGGGUGUAAAUAAGACAAAGCACCAACUGCAGAGAUACGGAGGUGAAGACUUUACAAAGAAGCCAGAACCAUUAAUACAAGACGGACGCGGAUGUUAUGUCGAAGUACUGCUUGCUACUUGGGAACAACUAUUAUUUAAUGUAAACCUUUAUAAUAUAACUCUAUCUCCAUUAAUACAGAUUCGAAAUGUAUCCCACGCGAAGAAUUUGAUCGAGAAAUUCUCUCUCCACCAACGAAUGAUAAUAAUAAUAAUGAUAGUGACAAAGCACCAGUGACGGAGACCAUAUUAAGGAGUUCUUAAAACACAUUGGUAUAAAGUCGACCAACGAAACACAAAACAUCAAUAUCAGAUCAAUUAAACGAUGUCUAUUAUUUGCUGAACAACACAACAUACAUUUCAAAUGCAGCUGUUUGUAAAAAGCUAACGAGAGAAUCAUACGGAUAGUCUACAAGGGAAGAAAACUUAUUCACGAUGUCAAGAUUUCCUUUUCAUCUCCUGGCUGACAGAGCAAAGAUAUUUUAUGUAUAUAUACACACACACAACAUUAAGGUUAAAAAUUCCGAAAUACAAGCUAUAUAUAUUUCAAAUUAGUACAUUAAUUAAUGGUGAUCAAAAAAAUAUUUCAUAAUUAUUUUAAACAACACUGAUUUAUUAUAAAUUAAAUAUUGUUUUGGCAUUUGCUGUUUGAUUUCAUUUCACCUUUUAAUUGAUAGUUUUGACCAAAAAAAAGAAGAAAAAGCAUGGACAUCAUAACAUCCCAUUUACCUGUACAAUAUAUCUCGAACCAUGCAGCUAGUCAAAACAAAUCAAUAUAUUGAUAAUCAACUCCAUUUGGUGGGUCUAAGUCUUUACGUGAAUUGAUAAAUUACAUGAAUUUUUUCAGCUUCAUUUAUCAUAAUUCUGAUCUCACUACUUAUAGUUAAUAUAUCUUUAAACAUAACCUUUAUUAUCAAUUUUAUCAUUUGAUAACAAUUGUUUCUUGAUGAGUAAAGUUAAACAACGAAACCGCAAAAUUUUACAAGUUCUUAUCUACUCAGUAUCGAGUGAUUCUCUUUUUAUACCUAACAUUUAGCGCUUGUAUAACGAAAUUUAACGUAAACGACCUUAAUUUCAUGUCCACAGCUCAGUGAGAGAGUGUACUUGUAUAUUAAACAACAAUGAUGAUGAUAAUGCAAAACUUUAA
rnacentral:lncRNA from 1 species